rnacentral:rRNA from 1 species
GAUGAACGCUGGCGGCGUGCCUAAUACAUGCAAGUCGAGCGAACAGACGAGGAGCUUGCUCCUCUGACGUUAGCGGCGGACGGGUGAGUAACACGUGGAUAACCUACCUAUAAGACUGGGAUAACUUCGGGGAACCGGAGCUAAUACCGGAUAAUAUAUUGAACCGCAUGGUUCAAUAGUGAAAGACGGUUUUGCUGCCACUUAUAGAUGGAUCCGCGCCGCAUUAGCUAGUUGGUAAGGUAACGGCUUACCAAGGCAACGAUGCGUAGCCGACCUGAGAGGGUGAUCGGCCACACUGGAACUGAGACACGGUCCAGACUCCUACGGGAGGCAGCAGUAGGGAAUCUUCCGCAAUGGGCGAAAGCCUGACGGAGCAACGCCGCGUGAGUGAUGAAGGUCUUCGGAUCGUAAAACUCUGUUAUUAGGGAAGAACAAAUGUGUAAGUAACUAUGCACGUCUUGACGGUACCUAAUCAGAAAGCCACGGCUAACUACGUG